AGCGAACGCUGGCGGCGUGCUUAACACAUGCAAGUCGAGUGCGUAGCCCUUUGUAGCAAUACAGAGGGUGGGCGCACGGCGCACGGGUGAGUAACACGUGGGUAACCUGCCCUUCGGUGGGAUGACCCGCGAAAGACGGGCGUAAUUCCGCAUAACAUUCCGGGGACGACAUGUUCUCGGACUCAAAGGAGUGAUUCGCCGGAGGAGGGGCCCGCGCCCGAUUA
rnacentral:rRNA from 1 species